AUUGAACGCUGGCGGCAGGCUUAACACAUGCAAGUCGAGCGGGGGAAGGUAGCUUGCUACCGGACCUAGCGGCGGACGGGUGAGUAAUGCUUAGGAAUCUGCCUAUUAGUGGGGGACAACAUCUCGAAAGGGAUGCUAAUACCGCAUACGUCCUACGGGAGAAAGCAGGGGAUCUUCGGACCUUGCGCUAAUAGAUGAGCCUAAGUCGGAUUAGCUAGUUGGUGGGGUAAAGGCCUACCAAGGCGACGGUCUGUAGCGGUGCUGAGAGGAUGAGCCGCCACAGCGGGACUGUGACACGGCCCAGACUCCGACGGGAGGUAGCAGUGGGGAAUAUUGGACAAUGGGGGGAACCCUGAGCCAGCCAUGCCGCGUGUGUGAAGAAGGCCUUAUGGUUGUAAAGCACUGUAAGCGAGGAGGAGGCUACUUUAGUUAAUACCUAGAGAUAGUGGACGUUACUCGCAGAAUAAGCACCGGCUAACUCUGUGCCAGCCGCCGCGGUAA
rnacentral:rRNA from 1 species